rnacentral:rRNA from 1 species
GAUGAACGCUAGCGGCGUGCUUAACACAUGCAAGUCGAGCGAGAAAGCCCCUUCGGGGGUGAGUACAGCGGCGAACGGGUGAGUAACACGUGGGCAACCUGCCCUAGAGACUGGGAUAACGUUCCGAAAGGGACGCUAAUACCGGAUAACGCGCGAUCUGCCAAGUGGAUCGCGCCAAAUGGUAGCUUAGGCUUCUGCUCUGGGAUGGGCCCGCGCCGGAUUAGCUUGUUGGUGAGGUAACGGCUCACCAAGGCGACGAUCCGUAGCUGGUCUGAGAGGACGAUCAGCCACACUGGGACUGAGACACGGCCCAGACUCCUACGGGAGGCUG